UCUCCUGGAAACGGGUGGUAAUGCCGGAUGUUCCACAUGAGCGCAUGCGAGUGUGGGAAAGGCUUUUUGCGGCAUGGGAUGGGGUCGCGUCCUAUCAGCUUGUUGGUGGGGUAACGGCCUACCAAGGCGUUGACGGGUAGCCGGCCUGAGAGGGCGACCGGCCACAUUGGGACUGAGAUACGGCCCAGACUCCUACGGGAGGCAGCAGUGGGGAAUAUUGCACAAUGGGCGCAAGCCUGAUGCAGCGACGCCGCGUGCGGGAUGGAGGCCUUCGGGUUGUAAACCGCUUUUGUUCAAGGGCAAGGCACGGUUUCGGCCGUGUUGAGUGGAUUGUUCGAAUAAGCACCGGCUAACUACGUGCCAGCAGCCGCGGUAAUACGUAGGGUGCAAGCGUUAUCCGGAUUUAUUGGGCGUAAAGGGCUCGUAGGCGGUUCGUCGCGUCCGGUGUGAAAGUCCAUCGCUUAACGGUGGAUCCGCGCCGGGUACGGGCGGGCUUGAGUGCGGUAGGGGAGACUGGAAUUCCCGGUGUAACGGUGGAAUGUGUAGAUAUCGGGAAGAACACCAA
rnacentral:rRNA from 1 species